GAUGAACGCUGGCGGCGUGCCUAACACAUGCAAGUCGAACGGAGUCGUUUUGGAAAUCUCUUCGGAGAUGGAAUUCUCGACUUAGUGGCGGACGGGUGAGUAACGCGUGAGCAAUCUGCCUUUAAGAGGGGGAUAACAGUCGGAAACGGCUGCUAAUACCGCAUAAAGCAUUAAAUUCGCAUGUUUUUGAUGCCAAAGGAGCAAUCCGCUUUUAGAUGAGCUCGCGUCUGAUUAGCUAGUUGGCGGGGUAACGGCCCACCAAGGCGACGAUCAGUAGCCGGACUGAGAGGUUGAACGGCCACAUUGGGACUGAGACACGGCCCAGACUCCUACGGGAGGCAGCAGUGGGGAAUAUUGCGCAAUGGGGGAAACCCUGACGCAGCAACGCCGCGUGAUUGAAGAAGGCAUUCGGGUUGUAAAGAUCUUUAAUCAGGGACGAAACAAAUGACGGUACCUGAAGAAUAAGCUCCGGCUAACUACGUG
rnacentral:rRNA from 1 species